rnacentral:rRNA from 1 species
CUACGGGUGGCACCAGUGGGGAAUAUUGCACAAUGGGGGAAACCCUGAUGCAGCAACGCCGCGUGGAGGAUGACGCAUUUCGGUGUGUAAACUCCUUUUAUAUCCCAAGAUAAUGACGGUAGGAUAUGAAUAAGCACCGGCUAACUCCGUGCCAGCAGCCGCGGUAAUACGGAGGGUGCAAGCGUUACUCGGAAUCACUGGGCGUAAAGGGCGCGUAGGCGGGUUGUCAAGUCUUGAGUGAAAUCCAACGGCUCAACCGUUGAACUGCUUGAGAAACUGGCAGCCUAGAGUAAGGGAGAGGUAGAUGGAAUUGGUGGUGUAGGGGUAACAUCCGUAGAGAUCACCAGGAAUACCCAUUGCGAAGGCGACCUGCUGGAACUUUACUGACGCUGAGGCGCGAAAGCGUGGGGAGCAAACAGGAUUAGAUACCCCCGUAGUC